rnacentral:rRNA from 1 species
GACGUCGGGGGCCAGCGUUGUUCGGAAUUACUGGGUGUAAAGGGUUCGUAGGCGGUGCGGCAAGUCGGGUGUGAAAUCUCUGGGCUUAACCCAGAGGCUGCUUCCGAAACUGCUGUGCUUGAGUGUGGGAGAGGCGCGUGGAAUUGCAGGUGUAGCGGUGAAAUGCGUAGAUAUCUGCAGGAACACCCGUGGCGAAAGCGGCGCGCUGGACCACUACUGACGCUGAGGAACGAAAGCUAGGGGAGCAAACAGG